UUAAAUUGAAGAGUUUGAUCAUGGCUCAGAUUGAACGCUGGCGGCAGGCCUAACACAUGCAAGUCGAGCGGAAACGAGUUAUCUGAACCUUCGGGGGACGAUAACGGCGUCGAGCGGCG
rnacentral:rRNA from 2 species